rnacentral:misc_RNA from 1 species
UCUCCGUAGGUGAACCUGCGGAGGGAUCAUUACAGAGUUCAUGCCCUACCGGGUAGAUCUCCCACCCUAUGUUAUUAUUACUUUGUUGCUUUGGCGGGCCGUCAGGCUCCGGCCCGACUACCGGCCCCGGCUGGUAAGCGCCCGCCAGAGGACCCAAAACCCUGAAUAUUAGUGUCGUCUGAGUACUAUAUAAUAGUUAAAACUUUCAACAACGGAUCUCUUGGUUCUG